rnacentral:lncRNA from 1 species
UGGAAAGGAACUGCCUGCUGGAAAAAAGAAGAAUUCUGAUACAUCCUGUUUGCUCUUGCUGUGGGAAGGGGUACACCAAGCCAACAUAUAGUCUGACACAAUGCAGUCAGCUGAACAGACCCAGGCACAGGGCUGUGGUGUUUGUGUCUAAUUGGAAACAUCCCCUUUAUGGAGGUCAGUGAAAGUGCAGCACUUGCAGGACCUGGAAGGAUUGUGCCCUUACUCCAAGAUUUUCAGAAGCAACUAGUGAUUUUGGCUGAAACAGUUUCUAGGUGCUGAAUUUUGAUGCACCUGAAAAAGAUACGAUAUACAAGGAAUAGUGAAGACAAGUUCCACUUGAUGAAAGAGCCACAGUUAAUCCGUCUCAAGAUUGGUGUCUCCAUGUAACACCCUGGGGAACAGGAAUAAAAAGAAGUGGUUUUGACUGGUGAGCUACA